rnacentral:tRNA from 1 species
UAAUUUUACAAUGAAAAUGUAAUGUUUUUUAAACUAUAUUAAUAGAAAUUUAAACAUUUUUUGCUUAUUAG